CCGUGUACAUCUGCAGAUGCAAAAGCGGUGUUGAAGAAUGGGAAGGGGUGGAUGACCACGUUUUUGGAAUCAUCAUCUUCCUCCCUAGAAGGGGAGAAGUGUUACAUAGAAUGCUGUACUUCAUUGAUCUAGAAUAAGCUGCAGAUAUCAUGCAUACAUUAUCACUUCACGGGUUUGAAGGGGUCCACUUACAGAUUUUUUUUCAAACGUGGGUCGAAAACACAGCAGCUGGAGGAUGCGAAACGCACACAGAGGGAGGGCAACUUUCCGUAUUUGCGUGUUCCACAGGCCCCACUGUGAGACGUGAAUGUGCCUGGAUUUCGGUGUCUGCUGGAACCAGUCCCACGCUAUACCAAGGGAUGACUGCACACCUAUUUCUGAUGACUGGAGAACUCCAAGGGGUUCGUCAUUAACUUAAAAAUUCAAUAAAGAUUAACAAAUCUGUGGUACACUCUAA